CCAGACUCCUACGGGAGGCAGCAGUGAGGAAUAUUGGUCAAUGGGCGGGAGCCUGAACCAGCCAAGUCGCGUGAGGGAAGACGGUCCUACGGAUUGUAAACCUCUUUUGCCGGGGAGCAACGGGGUCCUUGCGAGGGCCCAAUGAGAGUACCCGGAGAAAAAGCAUCGGCUAACUCCGUGCCAGCAGCCGCGGUAAUACGGAGGAUGCGAGCGUUAUCCGGAUUUAUUGGGUUUAAGGGGUGCGUAGGCGGGCUGUUAAGUCAGCGGUCAAAUGUCGGGGCUCAACCCCGUCGUGCCGUUGAAACUGACGCCCUUGAGUGAGUGGGAAGUAAGCGGAAUGCGUGGUGUAGCGGUGAAAUGCAUAGAUAUCACGCAGAACCCCGAUUGCGAAGGCAGCCUUCCGGCGCCCUACUGACGCUGAGGCACGAAAGUGCGGGGAUCGAACAGGAUUAGAUACCCCGGUAUA
rnacentral:rRNA from 1 species